UGAGUUUUAUUCUGGCAAUAAGAAAGUAGUGUUUAAUAGUAUGUUAGAUUGUGAAAGUGACUUUCCCAGCCCUGAUGCUUUCUCAGCAAUCUGUUCAGUUCCUCUGUAAACUGUGCGCAUGUCCCUUUAAGUGAGAACUCCCCAUCAGGGUAUAAUUGUGGCAUGGCUUUUACAGCUUAUGUAGAUUUGCAGUGCCCUUGUAAGCUUCUUUUUUUUUAUCUAAAUGCUCUGACAGUUUGAUCCAGGAUCUGUGUUGGUGUCACAGGAAUCAGACGUUUGGACAAUAGGACAUGAAGCAACAUCAAUCGUAAGUCUAUAAUAUACAUUAUAACUCUUGCCAAUGGUCACAUGGGGUAAAAUGUACUUUUGGAAGAUUAGAAAUAUACAUUCUCUUCUUUUUCUGUAUUUAUUUUCUUGCACAUACAAUCUCAUCCUAUACUGUGCAUUUCUAUUUAUUAUUAGUAUUAUUUUUAAUCGAGGUCAAUUCUUUGUUAUGUGUGGAAAAUUAAUAUUUUGUUAUUUUUCUGAAUGCUCAGAUAUCAGCACAGAUUUCCAGUUUGUAAAUGUAAAUAGGAGAGAUACUGAGAUUAAUGGGACGUUUAUGUCUGAAGGAAGAAAACCUUUAUACUGCUCUGUGACUCUGAUGAUGUGCACACAGACUGUAGCUUCCACAGUACAUAGAUCAACCAAAUCUUGAAAAUGUAACUUUGCCUGCGUAAAUAUAUUUUAUUGUCUUGCCACAAAGAGAAACCAAAAGAGAGAAGAGGCAACUCAUACUGAAUGUAUCAUGUCUGUUGCUCAAACUUACCUGAAGGAGAUUUUUGUUUUUAUAAAAUGUGUUUUAAAGACA